UACAGAGGUCCCAAGCGUUGUUCGGAUUCACUGGGCGUAAAGGGUGCGUAGGUGGUUAGGUAAGUCCGAUGUGAAAUCUCCAGGCUCAACCUGGAAAUGGCAUUGGAUACUAUCUAGCUUGAGGAGUGGAGGGGGGACUGGAAUUCUUGGUGUAGCAGUGAAAUGCGUAGAUAUCAAGAGGAACACCAGUGGCGAAGGCGAGUCCCUGGACAACUUCUGACGCUGAGGCACGAAAGCUAGGGGAGCAAACAGG
rnacentral:rRNA from 1 species